GGCCCGGUAGCUCAGUCGGUAGAGCAGAGGAUUGAAAAUCCUUGUGUCGGUGGUUCGAUUCCGCCCCGGGCCACCA
rnacentral:tRNA from 23 species